AAAGAAAGUAGUUUGAUCUUGGCUACGAAUAUACGCUAACUAUAGGCCUUACACAUGUAAGUCGUAUGAGGGGACUGAAGCGAACAAUAGGGGGCGACAGUAAUCAUGGCACCCGGGUGAGUAGGAGUAGGGAAUAAAAUCUAAGGUACAGAGAAAAGCUGUAAAAACCCCCCCCCAAGGGGGGCCCCCGCACAACAUGAACAUAUUGUGCAGGGGCAGGGGUGACCAAAGAAUACCUAUUUUUGGAUUAGGUAGUUGGUAGGGUAAAGGCUUACCAAGCCAAAGAUCUGAAAUUUAGUAUGAAAUGAACUAGAUCACAGUGGCAAUGAAAAAGAGCCACGUAGACCAAUUGGUCUGCCAGCAGUGGGGAAUAUUGGACAAUGGGCAAGGCGCCUGAUCCAGCCAUAUAGUAAGAGUCAAAAAAAACUCAAAAGAAAAAAGAAAAGAAUGAUAGAAGUUUUCAUUAUAUCCUGACAAAUUACGUGCCAGCAGUCGCGGUAAGACGUGAAGGAUAAGCGUAAUUCAUAAUAACUAGGUAUUAAGUGUCUGUAGGCGGCGAGAGCUAGAGUCUGACUAGGAAAUUGAAAUUUGAUAAGGAAGGAUAAAAUCUGUUGAUAUAUUAAAGAAUACUAUGCGAAGGCAUUUUUCUAUGAAGGACUGACGCUAAGAGACU
rnacentral:ncRNA from 1 species